UCAAAAUGGAGUAUAAUAAGCACCCCAAAAAAGGCCCUUUAGAGAUUUCCCUGGUGGACAAGACAGAUCUAUUGAUGCACGCCACGAGGACUGCAAAGGUGGUCUGUUGGCUCAGCCUUACGAGGACUCACAUCUCCCACUGGGAGCUGGUGUUAACUGAAGACAGCCUAGCUGGUCUUUACGAUGGAAUAUAAGGAAUGGGGGGAAUCAGUCAAAAUCUGGACAUGUUUUCAGAUUCCCUGCCUGGUCUUCUGGGUCUUCUUGCUCAAGAGGACCAGAACUAAGGCCCUGGAAUAUGUUAACAUUUACUACACACUGAAGUAUCGAUCACUUGCCUGAAGAAAUGGCUCAAAGUUCACUGCACUUGAAACAAUUCUUCUUUGAUCCCUGGCUCUGGAGAGAAGAUGGAGCCGUUUGAACUACUUCUGGGAAUGACUGCAAAAUACACUGCAUUUUAAUACCUUUCUGCACUCAACUUGGCAAUUUUUUGUGUCUAAGACACUUAGGGUUUCAAAAUACCGUUUUGGAGGAAAGAGUAAUGAAAGUAGUUCUAAACCAGUAUUUACUAACUCAGAAAGGUUAAACAUAUUUUAGAAUUCUGCUUUCUUUAUGCAGUUCAACUCUUUGGAAAAGAUAAAUGUGAUAACUAUGGCACACAUCCAGUACUAUUUUGUAAGGAAAGUAUUAAAGAUGGUUAAUUUUCACAUUUCUGUGUUAAAAGAUGAAAAAAUUGUUAUCAAGUCUCAAGCUUUUAUAUCAGACUACAGGAGUUAAGGGCUAUUGGCCUAUAAUUCUGGGAUGAAUUCCCCUUGUACAAAUUCAGGUCACCCAAUAGGUCUCAGAGGUCUCUGUCUGUCUCCAUAGGCUGCUUGGAGACACACACCUUUAUAUUUCAAAGCCUUUUCAUAGGAGUUUCCUUCAAAGACUCGACUCUGUGUAUUGUAAAAAACACUGUUAGUCAGUUCCUUUGUCACUUUCUUCACAUUGUCUCUAUUUUUGAGAUAUUUAUGAAUAACUAAAUCAGUUCAGGGAAGCUGAAUCAGAAAACAUCUCCUUUCUUAAAAUCUCUUCCUACUUUAAUAUUGUUCACAUCCCUUAUCCUCUCUCUAGAGACUCGACCUCAGUGAUUAAUUUUGCUGAAAUUGAGUGUUCAUAUUGCUGAAGUUGAGUGAUUCACGUUUUUCUCACAGGAUCAAGGAAUUAUUAUCCUUGAUCAAUUAAAUUGGUACUCAGAGAAUGUGGAGGCAAUCACCAAAAAGUGACUGUUCACAGGUUCAGGGCUUCCUAGUGAGGCUCAGUGAUUCUCAAAGGUGACAUCAUGGCCUUUAUACAAUGAUUCCAAACCACCAGGGGAAGGUGGUAUCAGUUGUCUACAUUAUAUUAUUUAAAGGGUUGAUAGAGCCAUCAUUAUCCUAUGUAUAAUAGGCACAUGUGUCUCUUAUUCAGUAUUUUUAAAAGGUGCAAGUCAAUGGUUAAUGUAUUUUGACAAGAUUUCCUUUUGAUGUCAUACAAAAAUCAAAAUCAAGUAUUCAAAAAUCAUUGUAGCAUUAACAAUUUUGGAUUUGAAUGACCUUAUUGAUGUUUCCUGCAGGGAGAAAGGGUCACUUGUGUCUGAAGUGCCAUUUACUGAGAAUUAUCCACCAUCUGUAAUGUUAGGACUUACUCCAAAAUCCUUUGAAGUCUAUGGAAGGAUUUGCGUCAACGGCAGGGGACUUUUUUUAGGUAACUACUUCUCUGAAUUUUGAAAGCUAAAUGCACUAAAUUCCAAUCCUUAGAGAUUCAAAGGUGUGGGUAUUUUGAAGGGAUUUGAACAGAUGACUUUGUGAGUGGAAUCACCAUGAUAUGAAUACUGACACUACUGAUUUUUCAGCAGGAUACAGUCUUGUUUCCUUUACAUUUUGAAAGCAAGUUUUUCAGGAAGCAAUGCAACUGCAAAAAAGAUCAGAUAAUUGUCUUCUGUUUUCUUUAACACUAACUUCUACUGAAAUCCUAAAUCUAUUUAUAAAGGAUAUGUAUUCUUCAAUAAUAUUUGAAGGACUUGUGAAUCAGAUCUAGGGAAUCUAAUUUGACAAUUUGGAUGUGAAGUCCUGAAGCAUAAUGACAUGUCAAAAUUCAAAGAGAAGACUUUCAUCAAUCAAAUUCUACUUUUCAUAAAAGUAAUAAAUGAGAACACGUUGUGUAAAAUACUGAAUUUAACAUCUGACCUGGUAUUUUCCCCCAGCCUUCAUGGUUUAACCCCAGCAAACAGCUCAGUCCCACACAGCUGCUCACUCACUCAUCUGCAGUGGGAUGGGGGGCAUAACCAGAAGAGUAAAAAUGAGAAAACCUGUGGGCUCAGAUAAAAGCAUUUUUAUAGGUAAAGCAAAACCAGUGCACAGAACCAAACCAAACCAAGGAAUUCAUUUCCUAUUUCCCAUGGGCAGACAGAUGUUCAGCCAUGCCCCGGACAGCAGGACUCCAUCAUGCAAUGGUGACUUGGGAAGUCAAACCCCAUCACUCUGAACAUCCCCUGCUUCCCUCUUCCCCUUCCAAUGCUGAGCACGAUGCCAUAUGGUGUGGGACACCCCUUCAGACAGGUGGGAUCAGCUCUCCCAGCUGUGUCCCUUCCCAAUUCCUCGUGCCCCCCAGCCUCCUUGCUGGUGGGGUGAGAGGCAGAGAGGCCUUGACACAGUGCAGGCUCUGCUCAGCAAUAUCUAACACAUCCCUCUGCUGCCAGUGCUGCUUUUGCUACAAAUCCAAAACACAGCACCAGACCCGCUACUGUGAAGGAAGUUUACUUUAUUCCAGCCAAAACCAGCACAUAGCUCUAACAUUUUCUCCACCAUUAAUUAGCAUUUCUCUGUGAGCCUUUGUCGUGCCAGGUCAACAUUUGAUCAUCUGUAAAGUUGUGGUUAUAAUGGAGUUUGAUAUCCAUUCUUAUUUUAUCUAAUUCUUUGCCCAAAGGAACAGAAUUUUACAUUUGCCCAGUCUUUCACAAAAUGAAAAUGGAAUUUAACUAAGCCUAAUUUGAAAUGAAACAGCUGGUGUCUAUUGAAAAAGAAAGAAAUCCCCAAAAAUAUCAGGAAAUCUUUCCAUAAGAAAAAUUUAUUUUCUUUCUAAAUUGGCAUAUCUAGCUAAAAAAAAAUUUCUAAAAAGUAAUAUGAACGGAACUAAAAUAUGAAUAAUAUGAACUGAUUAAAAUAAAGUUAUAUUCAGAAAAAAAAGAGAGUUUGUCAUUUUAUUUAAAAAUCAAAAUAUAAAAUAAAUAAAAAUUGAAUUUAAAUAUCAGUGAUUUCCCACAUAGUUGAAUAUAAGGUCACUUGAAAAACAAUACAACUGCAGUGAAGUAUUUUGAGCUAAAAUUUUCUCAUUGCCACAAGUUUAGGUAUUGCUCUACAAUUUUAAAAGUCCUUCACUUCAAUCAAGUUCAUCGUUAGGGAUUACUAGUGAUAAUGAUGAAGUUAUUAUUUGGGAACCUAAAUCUGGGGAAAUGCUGAUUUUAGGUGACUGCUUAUAGUUAUAGUGUUUUUAAAGAAACAAACAUGUACCAUUUCCUUAUUCCUUCUUAUAUCAUUCACCACUUUUGAUCACAGUCCAUUCUUUCAUGUUUCAGUCAUUCUGAAGGAGUAGAGAUAUUUUUUUAGUGAGUAGUGGUAGAAUGUCUGAUACUGGACUUGAUUUAUGGGACUUUAAUUAACACAGAAUUAAGGAAAAUAUAAUUGAUGCCAAUCAACAUGUGUUCAGGAAAAUAAAUCGUGUCAAAGCAACUUAAUAUCUUUUUUGAUGAGAUUAAAUAUUUGUCUGAUAAAGAUAAUAGUGUUCAUGUAAUACGAUUAUGCUUUUGAUUUCACAUCACAUGCCCUUUUGAUUAAAGAACUUGAACAAUAUGCUAUCAACAUGUUAAAAGGAUUAAGACCUGUUAAUUAAGGGAACUCUACAUCAAAUUGCAAAUGACUAAUCAUCAGUGAGUGGAUGUUUCUGAAAAAUUCUCAGAGAUUUUAAUUUUUCAUCCCAUGCUAUUUUGUCUGUGAUCUAGAAAGCUUAAGACAAUCUCCAGUAAAUCCUGCAAAUGCAAAAAAGUUGAAAGAGUGUUAAAAGAACAAAAAAAAAAGCUUACCCACCUGGUAGUGCUGGACAAUCUAGAUUGAUUUACACACCAACAGAGACAAAAAUGUUGGUUUGAACAGUGACAAAAUCAUGUAUGUAGAAGCAAGGACAAUGUGGGAUGAAAGAGUCAUGAAGAAGGAGCUACUCUGAAAAGGACUCAGGCAUCUGGGUAGACAAUUGUGUUCAUAUAGAAAAUGAAAGAUUCCUAGACUUCAAAGUAUGCUUUCCAUUAAAAGAGAAGCCUAUUUAAAAUGGACUCUUGCCCAUGCUCAGCACCUGAACUCUGCCUAGAGAUGGUUUGGAGGUGGUCCAAUCUGAGCAGAUCAAUUACACAGAGAGAGGGGUCUGAUGGAGCUGAAUGAUCAGUCAUCCACUAAAACUGCCAGACUGUGAUGGCUAAAAGGACUAACACUCUUGCACGUGAGACAAUACUUACAGCAGCAGCACUUUAUGACUGCGGGUAAUGCUGCUGGUUCAGGAGUUGUGUGCCUAGAAUUGUUAUACAUGCUUCAAGAAUGGUGCUGAUAAAUAGGAAACAGCUCAGAGACAAUCCACAACA